rnacentral:rRNA from 1 species
GUCGACCGGCGAAUGGGUGAGUAACGCGUAUCCAACCUGCCCCUGUCCCGGGAAUAGCCCUUGGAAACGAGGAUUAACGCCCGAUUUGCGGCAUCAUCGCAUGAUGGGGCCGUGAAAUGCCUAAGGACGGGGAUGGGGAUGCGUCUGAUUAGCCAGCUGGCGGGGUAACGGCCCACCAGGGCUUCGAUCAGUAGGGGUUCUGAGAGGAAGGUCCCCCACACUGGAACUGAGACACGGUCCAGACUCCUACGGGAGGCAGCAGUGAGGAAUAUUGGUCAAUGGCCGAGAGGCUGAACCAGCCAAGUAGCGUGAGGGAUGAAGGCCCUAUGGGUUGUAAACCUCUUUUAUGCGGGGAUAAAGAGUGUCACGUGUGACAUGUUGCAGGUACCGCAUGAAUAAGGACCGGCUAAUUCCGUGCCAGCAGCCGCGGUAAUACGGAAGGUCCGGGCGUUAUCCGGAUUUAUUGGGUUUAAAGGGAGCGCAGGCGGAGCGCCAAGUCAGCCGUCAAAUGGCUCAGCUCAACUGAGUCCUGCGGUUGAAACUGGCGCCCUUGGGUGCACAAGAGGCAGGCGGAACUCGUGGUGUAGCGGUGAAAUGCAUAGGUAUCACGAAGAACUCCGAUUGCGAAGGCAGCUUGCUGGGGUGUUACCGACGCUCAUGCUCGAAGGCGCGGGUAUCAAACAGGAUUAGAUACCCUGGUAGUCCGCGCAGUAAACGAUGGAUGCCCGCGGUGCGGCCGUUUAAGGUUACGCCGCCAAGCGAAAGCGUUAAGCAUCCCACCUGGGGAGUACGCCGGCAACGGUGAAACUCAAAGGAAUUGACGGGGGCCCGCACAAGCGGAGGAACAUGUGGUUUAAUUCGAUGAUACGCGAGGAACCUUACCCGGGCUUGAAAGGGAGCGGACGGGAGGCAGAGACGCUCUCUCGUUUCUUCGGACCGCUUCCUAGGUGCUGCAUGGUUGUCGUCAGCUCGUGCCGUGAGGUGUCGGCUUAAGUGCCAUAACGAGCGCAACCCUUUCCGCCGGUUGCCAUCGGGUAAUGCCGGGCACUCCGUCGGUACUGCCGCCGCAAGGCGUGAGGAAGGUGGGGAUGACGUCAAAUCAGCACGGCCCUUACGUCCGGGGCCACACACGUGUUACAAUGGGGGGCACAGCGAGCUGGAUGCAGGCGACUGCAUUCGAAUCAAGAAAUCCCCUCCCAGUUCGGACUGGAGUCUGCAACCCGACUCCACGAAGCUGGAUUCGCUAGUAAUCGCGCAUCAGCCAUGGCGCGGUGAAUACGUUCCCGGGCCUUGUACACACCGCCCGUCAAGCCAUGAAAGCCGGGGGCGCC